rnacentral:sRNA from 1 species
GGGUUAUGUCAGCCUCUCCAAGUCACCCUCUAAAAAUUACAGCUUUGUGCUUUUUUACUACCAACUCACGUCUCUGAAUUCUCUGCUUCUUCUUCUUCUUCUUCAACA